CCCCUCUCAGGGUCACACCUGGAGAGUUUCCAGUAUUCAACCAGCCUCGCCUAUGGGAGGGAGAGUCAAGCAGAGGCCUACCCAUUCCAUUCCUAGCUUGGGCGAUGGCUAGCGAGCGGAAGGCAGUCUGCUACAAGU